CAGUAGCCACGGUAAUACGAAGGGGGCUAGCGUUGUUCGGAAUUACUGGGCGUAAAGCGCACGUAGGCGGAUAUUUAAGUCAGGGGUGAAAUCCCGCAGCUCAACUGCGGAACUGCCUUUGAUACUGGGUAUCUUGAGUAUGGAAGAGGUUAGUGGAAUUGCGAGUGUAGAGGUGAAAUUCGUAGAUAUUCGCAGGAACACCUGUGGCGAAAGCGGCUCACUGGACCAUAACUGACGCUGAUGCACGAAAGCUAGGGGAGCAAACAGGAUUAGAUACCCCCGUAGUCCCUGUCUCUUAUAA
rnacentral:rRNA from 1 species